GUAAUUCCUUUAGUAGUAAGGUUUAUAGCUUGUUUGCGAAGAACUUAAAAUCCCUCGGUGGCAACACCGUGCCGGUUCGAUUCCGGCCCUGGGCACCA
rnacentral:tRNA from 1 species